rnacentral:rRNA from 1 species
GACGAACGCUGGCGGCGUGCUUAACACAUGCAAGUCGAACGGAAAGGCCCUGCUUUUGUGGGGUGCUCGAGUGGCGAACGGGUGAGUAACACGUGAGUAACCUGCCCUUGACUUUGGGAUAACUUCAGGAAACUGGGGCUAAUACCGGAUAGGAGCUCCUGCUGCAUGGUGGGGGUUGGAAAGUUUCGGCGGUUGGGGAUGGACUCGCGGCUUAUCAGCUUGUUGGUGGGGUAGUGGCUUACCAAGGCUUUGACGGGUAGCCGGCCUGAGAGGGUGACCGGCCACAUUGGGACUGAGAUACGGCCCAGACUCCUACGGGAGGCAGCAGUGGGGAAUAGUGCACAAUGGGCGGAAGCAUGAUGCAGCAACGCCGCGUGCGGGAUGACGGCCUUCGGGUUGUAAACCGCUUUCGCCUGUGACGAAGCGUGAGUGACGGUAAUGGGUAAGAAGCACCGGCUAACUACGUG